GAUGAAGAACGCAGCAAAAUGCGAUAAGUAAUGUGAAUUGCAGAAUUCAGUGAAUCAUCGAAUCUUUGAACGCACAUUGCGCCCGCCAGUAUUCUGGCGGGCAUGCCUGUUCGAGCGUCAUUUCAACCCUCAAGCCCUCGGGUUUGGUGUUGGGGAUCGGCGAGCCUUUCUGGCAAGCCGGCCCCGAAAUCUAGUGGCGGUCUCGCUGCAGCCUCCAUUGCGUAGUAGUAAAACCCUCGCAACUGGAACGCGGCGCGGCCAAGCCGUUAAACCCCCAACUUCUGAAUGUUGACCUCGGAUCAGGUAGGAAUACCCGCUGAACUUAAGCAUAUCAAUAAGCGGAUGA
rnacentral:misc_RNA from 1 species